GGCAUAGAGUUGUUGCUUAGAUCUGAAAUAGUGAAAGCAAUUACAGCUUCAAAGACUCUUACUAGUGCAGCUGGAGAAACCUAUAAGUCUUUAGGUUGUUUGACUUUGGUGUUCUAGGAACUGAUGCCAAAAGCAUCUUCUGUGUGAGAGAAAUUGUUGACGCUGACAAGCUUAUAGAAGCAAUUAUGGCAAAGAAGGAUGGAAAGGCUGAGACUGUAGGAGGGGGAUACAUUGGUCUAGAGCUUAGUGCCGUAAUGAAGAUUAACAAUUUUGAUGUUAUUAUAGUGUAUCCUGUAUCAUGGUGCAGUAAGACAGCCAUUUUAACUUCUCUUAUGGAAUUCUAGUAUACAUUGAAUUAGAUUGAGAAUAAUGUGGAAAUUAGAAAAUUAUUUGAAGUUGAAAGCAGAAUACUUUUGCAUGCU